UGGGGAAUAUUGGACAAUGGGCGGAAGCCUGAUCCAGCAAUACCGCGUGUGUGAAGAAGGCCUUAGGGUUGUAAAGCACUUUCAAUAGGGAGGAAAAAGGUAAGCUUAAUACGUUUGCCCUUGACAUUACCUAUACAAGAAGCACCGGCUAACUCCGUGCCAGCAGCCGCGGUAAUACGGAGGGUGCAAGCGUUAAUCGGAAUUACUGGGCGUAAAGCGUGCGUAGGCGGCUUGUUAAGUCAGAUGUGAAAGCCCCGGGCUCAACCUGGGAACUGCAUUUGAAACUGGCAAGCUAGAGUUGGGUAGAGGGGAGUGGAAUUUCAGGUGUAGCGGUGAAAUGCGUAGAUAUCUGAAGGAACACCAGUGGCGAAGGCGACUCCCUGGACUCAAACUGACGCUGAGGCACGAAAGCGUGGGUAGCAAACAGGAUUAGAUACCCCAGUAGUCCCUGAGCGGGCUGGCAAGGCGCAU
rnacentral:rRNA from 1 species